rnacentral:rRNA from 1 species
CCUACGGGGGACAGCAGUGAGGAAUAUUGGUCAAUGGCCGGAAGGCUGAACCAGCCAUGCCGCGUGAAGGAUGACUGCCCUACGGGUUGUAAACUUCUUUUAUAAAGGAAUAAAGUGAGGCACGUGUGCCUUUUUGUAUGUACUUUAUGAAUAAGGAUCGGCUAACUCCGUGCCAGCAGCCGCGGUAAUACGGAGGAUCCGAGCGUUAUCCGGAUUUAUUGGGUUUAAAGGGAGCGUAGAUGGGUUGUUAAGUCAGUUGUGAAAGUUUGCGGCUCAACCGUAAAAUUGCAAUUGAUACUGGCAGCCUUGAGUACAGUUGAGGUAGGCGGAAUUCGUGGUGUAGCGGUGAAAUGCUUAGAUAUCACGAAGAACUCCGAUUGCGAAGGCAGCUUACUAAACUGCCACUGACAUUGAUGCUCGAAAGUGUGGGUAUCAAACAGGAUUAGAUACCCUAGUAGUC